rnacentral:rRNA from 1 species
GACGAACGCUGGCGGCGUGCCUAAUACAUGCAAGUCGAGCGAAGUUUUUCUGGUGCUUGCACUAGAAAAACUUAGCGGCGAACGGGUGAGUAACACGUAAAGAACCUGCCUCAUAGACUGGGACAACUAUUGGAAACGAUAGCUAAUACCGGAUAACAGCAUUAACUGCAUGGUUGAUGUUUAAAAGUUGGUUUUGCUAACACUAUGAGAUGGCUUUGCGGUGCAUUAGCUAGUUGGUGGGGUAAAGGCCUACCAAGGCGACGAUGCAUAGCCGACCUGAGAGGGUGAUCGGCCACACUGGGACUGAGACACGGCCCAGACUCCUACGGGAGGCAGCAGUAGGGAAUCUUCCGCAAUGGGCGAAAGCCUGACGGAGCAACGCCGCGUGAGUGAAGAAGGAUUUCGGUUCGUAAAGCUCUGUUGUUAGGGAAGAAUGAUUGUGUAGUAACUAUACACAGUAGAGACGGUACCUAACCAGAAAGCCACGGCUGACUACGUG